rnacentral:rRNA from 1 species
GAUGAACGCUGGCGGCGUGCCUAAUACAUGCAAGUCGAGCGAACGGACGAGAAGCUUGCUUCUCUGAUGUUAGCGGCGGACGGGUGAGUAACACGUGGAUAACCUACCUAUAAGACUGGGAUAACUUCGGGAAACCGGAGCUAAUACCGGAUAAUAUUUUGAACCGCAUGGUUCAAAAGUGAAAGACGGUCUUGCUGUCACUUAUAGAUGGAUCCGCGCUGCAUUAGCUAGUUGGUAAGGUAACGGCUUACCAAGGCAACGAUGCAUAUCCGACCUGAGAGGGUGAUCGGCCACACUGGAACUGAGACACGGUCCAGACUCCUACGGGAGGCAGCAGUAGGAAAUCUUCCGCAAUGGGCGAAAGCCUGACGGAGCAACGCCGCGUGAGUGAUGAAGGUCUUCGGAUCGUAAAACUCUGUUAUUAGGGAAGAACAUAUGUGUAAGUAACUGUGCACAUCUUGACGGUACCUAAUCAGAAAGCCACGGCUAACUACGUG